UACAGAGGGUGCGAGCGUUAGUCGGAAUUACUGGGCGUAAAGCGCGCGUAGGCGGCUUUGCAAGUCGGGUGUGAAAUCCCCAGGCUUAACCUGGGAACUGCAUUCGAGACUGCAUUGCUAGAGUAUGGGAGAGGGAAGUGGAAUUUCCGGUGUAGCGGUGAAAUGCGUAGAUAUCGGAAGGAACGCCGGUGGCGAAAGCGGCGCACUGGAUCACUACUGACGCUGAGGCGCGAAAGCCAGGGGAGCGAACGGG
rnacentral:rRNA from 1 species